rnacentral:rRNA from 1 species
GACGGCGGGCGCAAGCGUUGUUCGGAAUUACUGGGCGUAAAGCGCGCGCAGGCGGGAGCGUAAGUCGGAAGUGAAAUACCGGGGCUCAACCCCGGGGCUGCUUCCGAGACUGCGUUCCUGGAGACCGGUAGGGGCGGGUAGAAUUCCCGGUGGAGCGGUGGAAUGCGUAGAUAUCGGGAAGAACACCGGUGGCGAAGGCGGCCCGCUGGGCCGGUUCUGACGCUGAGGCGCGAAAGCGUGGGGAGCAAACAGG